rnacentral:rRNA from 1 species
UCGAGCGAUGAAGUUUCCUUCGGNAACGGAUUAGCGGCGGACGGGUGAGUAACACGUGGGUAACCUGCCUCAUAGAGUGGAAUAGCCUUCCGAAAGGAAGAUUAAUACCGCAUAAUGUUGAAAGAUGGCAUCAUCAUUCAACCAAAGGAGCAAUCCGCUAUGAGAUGGACCCGCGGCGCAUUAGCUAGUUGGUGGGGUAACGGCCUACCAAGGCGACGAUGCGUAGCCGACCUGAGAGGGUGAUCGGCCACAUUGGGACUGAGACNCNGCCCAGACUCNUACNGGAGG